GAUUGUGAGUUGUAGGUAGUGACAUUGUUGUGGGACGACGGAGUGAACAACUCAAAGCAGGCUCUGGUUGGCCAGUUGGUGGCACAAAUGUGAAUGGUAAUGGGCCGCAAAGGGCAAUGAGAGAGCUGUCUCCUAAUGAGCCCUCCAUAAAGAAGGCCCUUACGCUUCACCAGUCUGAGUCUGUGUUCCUGCGGAAGUCAAAAGAAGGUAAGUUCUGCUUAACCCUAUUUGAUUCAUGUUUGUGUACGGCUCAGGUUCUUGAGGUCCAUAUUUCAUUGAGGCUUUGACUGGCUUUUGGUAUU
ensembl:lncRNA